CCUGAGUAGAGUUGAGGACCACUCCAAUGAACUCUAUGCAUUGUACUGGAAUUAAAGUUGAUUUUUUUCUUAACAGCCCCAGGUCGAGACAGGUGGAGCAAACCAGAUGGAGAUGUCACCACACCUGCCCUUUAUUAGCCAGUCAUCAAGGUACAGAAAAAUUUGCACCCCUCAGCGCCUCAGGAGUUGGGCCAAGGGCCACUCCAUGACGUUGACGGAGGACAGAAUGGCUAUCUAGCCUGCUGAGGGGUGUGUAAGCCCAAGGAAUGGAGUGGGGCACAGGAGUCUUUAAGGCCAUCGAGCAGUGCAUCGGUCAGCUCCGAAAAGCGCCUGUCCCCCUCAGAUCAGAGGUCCUGGAGGGUAGUCCUGGGACAGCGCAGAGACUGUAAUCAGGAGCUGUGCCUUAUGACCCCUGCAGAGGCGACUACCCUGGCCGCCAAGGCUGUAGCAUCCCAGGCCAUCUGGAGGGCGCCUCUUGCCACCACCUCGCCCUCAUUCACCAAGGUGGCGAACUCCUUGGCUCGGUCCUGUGGGAGGCCCUCCUUGAAGCUGCUGAUGGAGUUCCACAGGUUGAAGUUGUACCUGCCUAGCAGGGCCUGAUGGUCAGACACCCGAAAUUUCAGUCUGGCUGUCAAAUAAAUGUUCCUGCCAAACAA